AUGCUGCGGGAGCUGGGUGAGCUGUGGGAGGACCUGCAGAAGAAGCACCAGGAGAAUGGUGCAGUGCUGCAGGAAAUCGAUAAGGCACUGAGGCUGGUGGGGGAGCUGGACCGUGCUGAACGAUGGCUGCAAGCUGUGGCCGGGUCGCUCUCAGAGCCAGCCCCUAUGCGAAGUCCCACAGAGCUGCGCCGGGACCUGGAGGGGACAGACCGGCUGGAGAGGCAGCUCAUGCUGUGCAGCCUCAAGCUCCAGGCACUGCGAGAGGAGGCAGCGAGCGAGACAUCUGUGGAACACGAGGGAGCAAGGAAGAUGCAGAGGAAGGUGGAGAUGGUGGAGGAGAAGCUGGCACGAGUACAGUCAGCACUGCGGCGCCGAGCUGCUGACCUGCGAGACUCCUUGGUGCUGUCUGAGUUCCUGCAGAACCUGCAAGAGGAGGAGUCACGGAACCGGCAGGGACCUGCGGCGCCAGGGAGCAGGCAUCAUGGCUUGCAGAGGGCUUUUCCCCUGCUCUCGGCCCAGGCUGAAGACAGCGAGGUGAGCAGUCCUUUGGGAGAGCUGCAGGAGGCUGUGGAGAUGCUGAACAGUGCGGUGAAGGAGCGUGAGCGGGUUGUGGAGGUGGCAGCGGAGACGGAAAGCCUGGAGCGCCUGGUGGCAGAGGUGUCCCCACGCCUGGAGGCCCUUUGUUGCGAAGCCAAGGCCCUGGCUCAUGACACUGCCCAAGCAGAGAAGAGUUUCACUACAGUGAAAAGUGAGAAGGACCUCCCGGGUCUGCAGGGCCUGCAGAGCCGGCAGCAGGACAUGGAGCGUGAGGUGUCAGAGGGCCUGCAGGGGAAGCUGGAGGAGCUGGAGAAGAAAGCUUCCCGCUUGCAAGAGCUCUGCCCUGCACAUCUGUGCCCCAUUGGCCGGGAGGCGCAGCGCACGCUGCAGCUGUGGGCAGAGCUGCAGGAGCUGCUGCAGGAGACCCGUGCCCACGUGCAGCAGGCUGGUCAGCUGCGGCACUUCUUCAGGGAUUACUUGGCCAUGAUCUCCUGGACAGAGGACACGCGGGCUCAGAUCUUCUCAGAGAGCCCAAGCAGCCAUGGUCUCCUGGAGCCCCAGUGUGAGGAGCUGGAAAGGAAAAUCGAGGGGAAGCUGAAGGAGUUUGAGAAGCUGGCAGCUGCAGGGCAGCAGCUGGUGGCUGAGGAGCACAACUUGAGUGCAAUGAUCCAAGAGCGCCUGGAGGAGCUGCAGAGCAUGCUGGGCUGGGUGCUGGUGCGCUGGCGAGCGCAGAGGCAUCAGCGGGACACUGGGAACAAGCAGGAGGACAGGAAGGAUCCAGAGAGCCCCUUGAGAGCAUCCCCUGCUGGACAGGAGCAGUGUGCCCCGUGUGCUCAGGAGAGCAUCCUCAGCCAAGACAGGAUCACACUCUGCUCCCUCCCCACACCUGUGCCAGGUCCAGAGCCACAGGUGCUGGUGGGAGCAGCGGGCUCCCUUCCAGCAUUGCCUGUCUCAGACAUGCCACUGAGAGGGGAGGAGAGCUGGGGGGAACUUAGCAACUUGGGACCCCCUGAAGAGGCUCUGGCCUGGGAUUCCUCUGAGACCUCUACGCUGCUGCUGCCACCACGGGGCCCCAGUGGGCUGGGAGGAACUGUCAACUUGAUCCUAAGCAUCAGCAAGAAGGGUGAGAAGAAGAAGGUGCAGAUUGAGGAGGCUCCAAGGACGGCACCACAGGAGGAGAGCUAUGGGGAGAAAGCCAGGAAGAGUUCCAGCACACCGCAGCCAGCAAAGCGACCACCUGCCGCAUCCUGCCGCCCACCAGCACCCAGCACUGGUACAUCACCAUCUUCACACACCCUGCCCAAAGCUGGGGCUGGGUCCCUCUUCAACAGCCUGCAGCGGAGGGAGCGGGCGAGGGCUGAGCAGGCACGGCUGCUGACACUGCAGGGCAUCAUGGGCUCCAGCUCCCUGCAGCCCCCACCUGAGGAGCGACGUGGCCCCACCAACACAUGGCCUCUCAAGUGUGGCCGCAGGAAGGCGGCGGGGGCAGCCCCCAGCCCCCCUCUCGGGGAGCUGCUGCUCUACGUGAAGAACCCCCUGGUACGGGACAUAGAUGCUGAGUGCGGGGCGGCCCCCAGGCACCCCCAGCCCCGUUGCAUCUCCCCAGGGUCGAAACCCACGUGUCCCCAGCUUGCUCUGGGCUCCGUGCUGAGCCUGGAGCUGCCCAAGGACCUGGGGUGCCUCCGGGACGCAUCAGCACGGGAGGAGAGGCAGGGCACGGGAGUGCAGCUCUGGCAGCCCAGCUGCAAGGCCAGGCAGCAGGAGGAGGGCACGGGGGGACAGAGUCAAGAUCUGGGGAAGACUCCUAAGGGCGAGCAAGGAACGUGGUUUGAAGAGGUGAGCUUCAACCCCAGCUAUGGCCGUCACAAGGCCUGGAGCCUGGAGGAGCACGGCAGCCCGCGGCAACCCAGCAGUGCUGGUGAGGGAAUCCUGGACUCUAGGCCAAGCCGGCCAGCCCAUGUCAGCAGCCGGGAGUGGGACAUGUUGGCCACCCGCUCGUACCGGGAUGGCAGCCCUGGCAGCGGGACCAGGCAUCGCGAAGCUGCUCGGCUGGAACCAGGGCCAUCCCCCACCGGUACCGCGGGCAGGGCAGGAGCAGUCCUCAGCGCUGCCUGUACUUCCCCUGCUGCCCCCACCCAGCUCUCUGUCUUUGAGUGGGCACUGGGCCCCCCGCAGCCCCCCAGCCCGGCGCUGGGAUCCAAGGUGUGUCACCCUCCCCACGGGCAGUUUGAGGAGGAGGAGGAGGAGCUGCAGGCCAUCUGGGAUGGGGCGGGUGAGCGGCGGGCACCCAGCCACACAGCAUGCAGCCCCCCCAGCUCCGACACCUCUGGCGGGCCCCUCAUCCUCUCAGCAGCCAACAACGUGCUGGUGGCCAAGUUCACCCUGCCCAGUGCCGCCCAGCUCCUGCACAGCCCGCCUGCGGAGAAGAGCCAUGGGGUCACCCCAUGCUUGGAAGAGCCAUCGUCCACAGCCCCCUUGGACAGCCCCAGCGUGUGGGAUCGACACAGGCAGCGGGAAGAUGAGAGAGAGGGCAGCAAGGCUGCCCCUGGGAGAGUGGAGUUCCAGAUGAUGGAGGGGACGCUGGAAAGGAAGCACGUGCUGCAGGCGGGCGGCAGAAAGGCGAGCUGCCGUACCUGGGGCCUCUUCCAUGCCGUGCUGAUGAGGCAGACGCUGUGCUUCUACCAGGACCGCAGAGACAGCAUCAAGAGCUCUGUGGUGGCCCUUCCCCUGAACCUCUCCGGAGCCAUCUGCACACCAGACACCGAGUAUAUGAAGAAGACCAACUGCUUUAGGCUGCAGCUGCGGGAUGGCUCCGAGUAUCUCCUGAGGGCCCCCUCCCAGCCCCUCAUGGAUGAAUGGGUCUCCAAGCUGCAGCAGAACUCAGGUUUCCCUGAAGUGGAUUACUUUCAGGCAGCGACACAGUGCAUCGAGAGCCCCAGGGCUGCUGGGGGGUUCAACAAGGUGCCCAGCCCCGGGAGCCCCCACCUGCAGGGACACCACCAGGCCAUGACUGCCAAGAGCCCGGAGAUCGUGGUGCUGCCCCGCUCCAACACCCGUCUGCAACAGCCGCUGGGCACCCAAGAUGGCCCAUCCGAUGGGACAGUGGCAGCAGAGGAUGUCUGUGGGGCCGCCAGCCAUGCAGCUGGGUCCAGGGAACAGCAGUGGUCACCCAGGAUGUCCCCUGGGCUGUGGGACAACAGCUGCCCAGACGAUGACUACGGGCUGGUGGCCAACAAGCGGAGAUCCUACUCCUUCACAUCAGCCACCUACCAGAAGAUCGUGCCCGUGGCCGUGCCCCAGGAGCCGCCGGAGGCUGGAAGCAGCUACUCGGUCACGCUGUACAUCAGUGAGCAAGCAGCAGCCAUGCCCAGGGCACGCUGCCACUCCUUCGUGGCCCGGCCGGGGAGCCCACAGGACGUGCUAGCGGAGAAGAUCCCUCGCCCCAAGAACAAAUCUGUCUUCAAGAAGUUCUUUGGGAAGAAGGAGUGA
rnacentral:lncRNA from 1 species